rnacentral:misc_RNA from 1 species
GAGAGUGGGUGAUUUUCAAGGUAUGGUAGCACUUCCCUAACCACGCACGGCUGAAAACUGAACCAAACGUGCAUUAAUUUUCUCGGGUUUUAUAUAGGCGCAGCUGAAGAGCCUUUCAAUUUCUAUUAAAAAAAGGCCCUUCGAUUCGUCCAAGUUUUUAUCUGAGGAUCCCAACAGAUGUCACUGCACAACAUCCAGGCAAUAGUCAUUCACAAGCUUUCAUAUUAAUCAAUGGCAAAAACAAUGCAGGG